GAUAGUCUUGGGAGUGGGGAAAGCUGAUUGGUCCCUGAAUGUUCUUCACAAAUUCUCAGAUCCAUAUCAUUCUGGUAGCCUCAUCUCCCCAUCAGGUGAUUCUGAACGCAUGGACUGUUUGCUUAUCACAUACAACUCUGUCACAAUCUGUGAGGACAUCUGAGCUCAUGAACAAGAAAGCAGCAUGUUACACAGUGCUCUUGUGGCGAUCAGAGGACCACUUUGUGAAAUCAGCUCUCUCCUGACACCUUCCCAUGAAAUCCAGGGAUAAAACCCAGCCCCCCCCCCCUCCAGGCUUGCAUGGUCUGUACGAACAUACAAACGUGGGCACCUAUGGAGGCCAGAGAGGGCACUGAAUCCCUGGGAGCUGAAGUUAAAGGCAGUCGUGGGCUGCCUGAGAUGAGUGCUGAAAACAGAACUGAGGUCUCCUGCAAGAGCCGCAAGUGCUCUUAACCACUGAGCCAUGGCCCACCCUCUCGGAGUUGGGUCUUUAGAGCCACGACCAUGUUACGGAUUUGAUAGGCAAAGGCAAAUGAGAGUCGGUUUGUGUUGAACCAAAUUAACUGUGUGGAGUAGAGGCCAGCUGACUUUUCUUGCAACAAUUUUGGUGCUCACCAAAAGCAUCCCUGGGGGAUCUGCUUCUUUGAGAAUCUCCUCUGACGUACCACCUUGGUCAACCGCUGGACUUAGGUUGCUGUUUCACAUCCCACAUGAUUUCCCGGGCAGAAGCCCAAGGCUUUGCCACUUGGCAGAAGUUUCCAACAUAAAAGCAAAUCUUGGUAUGCUCUUCCCUCCCAGAACUCUUAAAUCUCUUGUUCAUAGCUCAAGGCUUCCUUGUGUUCACAUCAGCCCACAGAUGGGUGCAUUUUUACAAUACAUCGGACCCAGCAUUUCAUUUGUCGAGAAGGGAAGCGUUCUGCUAACUCACUGUAUUGCUGGGAACAGAACUGAUCAAGUUGGCUUAUUUUUAGCGAAAGCUAAUUUCCGGAUCGGAUCGCUCUGCACCUGCAGACCUGAGCCAAUUUGCAUGAAUGUGUCUUCCUUUGCUGAGAAAAGCAUUUCCAAGGAGGAAAACCAAUGGGCUUCUGUCAGAGACAACCAAGAAGCACACCGCCUGCCUGCCUGUCCAGGGGCCCCAGAAUGACGAUUUCAGCCUACUUUAGAGCUAUUAUUAUGUAAAUGUACAGAUAACAACUUAUUUCGAGAGAACGAAGCUUCUUAUGAGCUAUGAGGCAAACACUAACUAUAUUAUAUAUGUCUCCUCAAUUUUCACAACUACUCCCUUAGGGAGGUGUUACUAGCUUUCAUUUUACAGAAGAGAAAACUAAAGAGAAAAAUGGUAAGAGGCUUGCCCAAAGAAAGAGGAAGAAGCAGGAGGCCUUUGGGCCCCUGAGCACACGCCCAAAGCCCUGUUAUUAUGCAGUUACUGUUGGAAGAAAAGCAGCCAGUGGUAAUUCGCCUUCCUGAAGAAGUUAGUUCUUGUGGCAUGUCCAGAAGCAUCCUUUGUGGUUCUGAACCUGAGCAAGCCUGUUAGAAGCAUCCAGGGAGUCUAUUCAAAACGUUCCACAAGGGUUGGUGAGGUUGGCUCCGAGAGUAAAGGCACUUGUUCCCAAACCUGAGAAGCUGAGUUCGACCCCUCAGACCUACAUGGUAGAGAGAGAGAGAGAACAGACUCCCACACAUUGUCUUCUGACCUAUGGGUAUAUAUGAAGCACACACGCACACACACACCACCUGACACCUUUCAUGUGUGGAGAGUCUAAGCUGUUUAGCCUGGAGUAGGGUCCCACAUCUUUACUUGGCGAGAGCUGUGCAGCUAGCAGAGAGGUUCUAAUGCACCAGCCUCCUAGGUGAACCAGGGCACCUCUCCCCGCCACUUGCUUUCUCCACUUCAUUUCUUUUGGAACACUUCAUUGAGUUUCAGCUUCUCAGAAAAAUCUGCACCAGGCAAGAAAGAGAGUUGCCACAUCAAUAGUCACAUCUGAGUGUCCCCAGGAGAGUUCCUAAAACUAAGCCUUGGUCCUUCCUAUGCAAAAUGGCCAUCUGUGUUAGAGUGGGCAUUUAAGACGAUCAUAUUUCUAGGUGAUUGUUGAACAAAGCCAGCUUAUUUUGUGUCAGAGCUCUAUAUCGGCAGAGCAUAGAGCUCUCUUAAAGUGGGCAAGAGGAAUCCUCUCUCUCUCUCUCUCUCUCUCUCUCUCUCUCUCUCUCUGUGUGUGUGUGUGUGUGUGUGUGUGUGUGUGUGUGUGUGUGUGUGUGUGUGUCUGUCUGUCUGUCUGUCUGUCUGUCUGUCAAAGCCAGAGGCUGGUGUUGGAUGUUUCCACUAGACCUGGAGCUCACUGAUUGGCUAGAUUGACUGGCUAGUGACCCCCCCCAGGGAUCUCCCUGUGUCUGUCUGCCCAGCACAGGGACUAUGGGGUCGUGCAUUCUGUGUCUGGUUUUGCUUUAAGUACUAGGGAUCUGAAUUCAGGUCUUAAUGUUUGUUCUGAGGGUAUUUUAUCCCUAAACCAUCUCCCCUGCCUGUCAUAGGGUUCUCCCUGGCUUACAGACAUAUCUGUCCAUAUUCAAGUUUGGAAGCAAGUGCCACCACAAGAUCUUGUCAGCAAAGAGAUUCCAACUGCUCUCCAACACAGGAGACCUUUGAUGCUUUUUCUUUCCUAGAUUAAAGCUUAAGAAAGGUAAAAAGUAUGUUUGAACCAAGAAAGGCCACAAAGGGACUAUUAAAGACCUAAAAGUGAGUAAAUAAAUAAACAAACAAAAAGAAGCCUAGAUUAAAAAACGCCACCUUCCUACACACACACACACACACACACACACACACACACACACACACACACACUCCCAAGCCCUUCUGUCAAGGCUAAGGAAGCCAUCUGGAUUGAACAAGCUUGAUUUAGGAAUCUGGCUUUGUUGGGUCUGGCUGAAAAGUUCCACCAGAAAUGUUCCUGGACAGCAGAGCACCUAACUACUCUGGGCCUCUACAGCAGCAACUCUCUCUCACGAGCUGGCCCUAGCUCCCAGCAAGAACCAUCAGCUCAGUCCUUCCAUUUAGUGCCUCUGGUCUGAGUCCUGCACCACACUGGAUCCCUUCUGAGAUGUAAAAAGCAAAUCCCUCCCAUAGGCCCCAGCCAAUAGAUCUGUAGGCUUUGCAGGGCUCCAUGAGUCUUCUCUGUCUAUACAUAGUAACUUCCAGCCUCCGGGGGUGGGAGUCUGGGGCAGAAGUGAGCCCAUAUGCCAUUCGGAAGGUGCCAGAAGCAUACACUGUUCCUAAGGACUUUUGACCAAUCACAAACUCUGACUCAUAGAUAAGACUCAUCCUUGCUGGAAACCCCUGAGAGGCAACUUCCCCCUCACACACCAAGGUUCCAGCCCAGCUCCAGCUCCCACGUCUCUGAGCUUCCAUAGCUAACAGGAGACAUCAUAGGUUCUUUAAAAAACAAAAGAUUUAUUUAUUUAUUAUA